AGCGAACGUUAGCGGCGCGCCUAACACAUGCAAGUCGCACGAGAAAGGGAGCAAUCCCCGGUACAGUGGCGCACGGGUGAGUAACGCGUAGAUGACCUUCCCUGGAGUGGUGGAUAACCUGCCGAAAGGCGGGCUAAUACAGCAUGGGACCACAUGGUUUUGACCGAGUGGUGAAAGCGGGCCUCUGUUCACAAGCUCGCGCUCUGGGAUGGGUCUGCGUCCCAUCAGCUAGUUGGUGAGGUAAUGGCUCACCAAGGCAUCGACGGGUAGCUGGUCUGAGAGGAUGACCAGCCACACUGGAACUGAGACACGGUCCAGACUCCUACGGGAGGCAGCAGUGGGGAAUCUUGCGCAAUGGGCGAAAGCCUGACGCAGCGACGCCGCGUGGGUGAUGAAGGCC
rnacentral:rRNA from 1 species